UACGAAGGGGGCUAGCGUUGCUCGGAAUCACUGGGCGUAAAGCGCACGUAGGCGGCUUCUUAAGUCAGGGGUGAAAUCCUGGAGCUCAACUCCAGAACUGCCUUUGAUACUGAGGAGCUUGAGUCCGGGAGAGGUGAGUGGAACUGCGAGUGUAGAGGUGAAAUGCGCAGAUAUCGGGAGGAACACCAAUGGCGAAGGCAGCUCGCUGGGACGGUACUGACGCUGAGACGCGAAAGCCAGGGGAGCGAACGGG
rnacentral:rRNA from 1 species